rnacentral:rRNA from 1 species
UACGUAGGGUGCGAGCGUUGUCCGGAAUUACUGGGCGUAAAGAGCUCGUAGGUGGUUUGUCGCGUUGUUCGUGAAAACUCACAGCUCAACUGUGGGCGUGCGGGCGAUACGGGCAGACUGGAGUACUGCAGGGGAGACUGGAAUUCCUGGUGUAGCGGUGGAAUGCGCAGAUAUCAGGAGGAACACCGGUGGCGAAGGCGGCACUCUGGGCCGGUACUGACGCUGAGGAGCGAAAGCGUGGGGAGCGAACAGG